rnacentral:rRNA from 1 species
CCUACGGGUGGCAGCAGUAGGGAAUAUUGCUCAAUGGGGGAAACCCUGAAGCAGCAACGCCGCGUGGAGGAUGAAGGUUGUCGGAUUGUAAACUCCUUUUGUUAGAGAAGAUAAUGACGGUAUCUAACGAAUAAUCCCCGGCUAACUCAGUGCCAGCAGCCGCGGUACUACGGAGGGUGCAAGCGUUACACGGAAUCACCGGGCGUAAAGCGCGCGUAGGGGGGAUAGAAAGUCAGAUGUGAAAUCCUAUGGCUUAACCAUAGAACUGCAUUUGAAACUGUUAUUCGAGAGUAUGGGAGAGGUAGGUGGAAUUCUUGGUGUAGCGGUAAAAUCCGUAGAGAUCACGAGGAAUACUCAUUGCGAAGGCGACCUGCUAGAACGUAACUGACGCUGAUGCGCGAAAGCGUGGGGAGCAAACAGGAUGAGAUACCCCUGUAGUC